ACUUGUAAGCUUGGGUCUAACGACUGAUGAUGACACACACGUUUGCUAUUAAUGUCUGUUUUUUACCUGUGCCUUCAUUUGAACUCUGAAACUGUUUACCGGACAGGUGUGAUAAUAUGUUUAGCUUGAUGAGUUUAGUUGGAUGUUUUUGCUUGGUGUUAAACUUAACGGAAGGCCGCUCGAUAGGAAAAGAAAGUAGACUGCUAAACAAUGCUCCAAACGGAAGAAAUAUGUUGAAUUUUUUUGAAGAAUUCCGACGGUAUAUAUAUGGGAUUUCAACCGAUUAUACAAAGCAAAAUAUUGGUAUCAGGUGGGACCCAAGCACGGGACAGAAUAUACCAGAUAUCCUGAUGGACGUGUUGUGUUCUGCUUGCUCUUUGAUAAAGGACACUUCGAAACGACAGAAAUGCCAAACGCGAUACUGUCAAAAACCUCCUCAGAUUAACUACAGAUCAUUCGUAUUGACACCCAUGAAUGACGUCAGGGAUGACGUCAUCAGAACGAAACCGAAGAGGAAGAACAGCUAUUACAAUGCCAAAAACCUCCUCAGAUUAACUACAGAUCAUUCGUAUUGACACCCAGGUAUGACGUCAUCAGAACGAAACCCAAGAGUAAGAACAGUUAACCUCCUCAAAUUAACUACAUAUCAUUCGUAUUGACACCCAGGGAUGACGUCAGGGAUGACGUAAGGGAUGACGUCAGAAGAACGAAACUCAAGAGGAAGAACAGUUAUUACAAUGCCAAAAUGUGAAGGAUAACCUCAAUACUGGAUAUUGAUAGAAAACAUGACAUGUGAAAUAAGUGUCUAUAGCUGUACAUUAACUUAAGAUUAUUUAUUAUUUUCGUUGUAUAUUUUGUGUGUGCCGAUUCUGUGAUAUUUUUUCAUUAAAUGUUGUUGCAUUAAUACGAUUAUGCUUGCA